rnacentral:misc_RNA from 1 species
GAUGAAGAACGUAGCGAAAUGCGAUACGUAAUGUGAAUUGCAAAUUCAGUGAAUCAUCGAGUCUUUGAACGCACAUUGCGCCCGUCAGUAUUCUGGCGGGCAUGCCUGUUCGAGCGUCAUUACGCCCCUCAAGUCCCCUGUGGACUUGGUGUUGGGGAUCGGCGAGGCUGGUUUUCCAGCACAGCCGUCCCUUAAAUUAAUUGGCGGUCUCGCCGUGGCCCUCCUCUGCGCAGUAGUAAAACACUCGCAACAGGAGCCCGGCGCGGUCCACUGCCGUAAAACCCCCCAACUUUUUAUAGUUGACCUCGAAUCAGGUAGGACUACCCGCUGAACUUAAGCAUAUCAAUAAGCGGAGGA